rnacentral:rRNA from 1 species
UACGUAGGGCGCGAGCGUUGUCCGGAAUUAUUGGGCGUAAAGAGCUCGUAGGCGGCCUGUCGCGUCAAUUGUGAAAGCCCGGGGCUCAACCCCGGGUCUGCAGUCGAUACGGGCAGGCUAGAGUUCGGUAGGGGAGAUCGGAAUUCCUGGUGUAGCGGUGAAAUGCGCAGAUAUCAGGAAGAACACCAAUGGCGAAAGCAGCUCUCUGGGACGGUACUGACGCUGAGACGCGAAAGCGUGGGGAGCGAACAGG